UACGGAGGGUGCGAGCGUUGUCCGGAAUCACUGGGCGUAAAGGGCGCGUAGGCGGCGCGGGAAGUCAUCGGUGAAAGUUCAGGGCUCAACUCUGAAUCGGCCGGUGAUACUCUCGUGCUUGAGCACUGUAGAGGCAGGUGGAAUUCCGGGUGUAGCGGUGGAAUGCGCAGAUAUCAGGAGGAACACCAAUGGCGAAGGCAGCUCGCUGGGACGUGACUGACGCUGAGACGCGAAAGCGUGGGGAGCAAACAGG
rnacentral:rRNA from 1 species